UACGGGGGGAGCAAGCGUUGUUCGGAUUUACUGGGCGUAAAGGGCGCGUAGGCGGCCACCGCAAGUCGACUGUGAAAUCUCCGGGCUUAACCCGGAAAGGUCAGCCGAUACUGCGGGGCUAGAGUGCAGAAGGGGCAACUGGAAUUCUCGGUGUAGCGGUGAAAUGCGCAGAUAUCAGGAAGAACACCCGUGGCGAAGGCGGCUCUCUGGUACGUGACUGACGCUGAGACGCGAAAGCGUGGGGAGCGAACAGG
rnacentral:rRNA from 1 species